AAGAACAAAAAGACCUAGAAACUUGCUCUUUAUUUGUACAGAUCUAAAAUCUACGGCAGUUUCAUACUGUAAAUCCUACAUAAUACUACAAUUUCACACUAUAAAUCUGUAAAUCAUAAAUUAGAAAUGUAGCCUGUAGCUAUAUGACUGUGUGCAGCGGUCACAUUUUUCCAAGUUUUUCCUGCAGUAAUGUAAGUCUUCUUUUAGUCUCAUCUGACUACAGAUUGUGUUGGCGAUGACUUGGUACAAGGCACUCUUCCUUCUGGUUUGAAACUACAUGGUGCUACAGUCCUAUGGACAAAAGCAGAGCUCAGAACAAGUGGGCUGUGCUAACAGAGGGUGUUUACAAUGGUCUGUGGAUGAUGAUAAUGGCUUUAUCCAUGGUCCUUACUUCGUGACUUUAUCUUUGCUUUUUACAGGACUUCCAGUUAACAGAUUGCAUAUGCCAUUCCACUGAAGUAUGAACUGUUGGUCAAGUCAACAAAGUCUUGCAACCUCUAUGCAUGGCAGAGCAUGAUCUUGGAUAUCAUCAGCAAAGACUGUGAGCUCCUCCCAAAAGAGGCGCAAUUUGUUUUCCAGGCAUUAAAAUGCAAGUGACUGUGGAUGAGGAUGGAAGUUGUGCAGAACUGGUGACUGUGUUCUAUGCCUUUUCCCAGCAGCCCAUAAUUUUCCUGCGUUGGCAGGCCAGACUGAAGAAGAGCACAUAAAAGGCAUACCAGGAGAGCCUGGCAGCCUGCACAAACCUAUGGGAAGGUAGAGGGUGGAAAAUGACACAAAAACAUGGACAAUACUUCAAGAGAGUAUAUUUGAAGAAACUGCAGAAAAUAAAGGCAAGUCAAAGAAAAAACACAUACACACUCAGAAGUUUGUUUUAACUUUACUGUCAGCAGCUGGUGUUUAAGUUACUCAAUAUGUAGAAAUCAUACAUUUUCCUGAUUUAUUUGACCAUUUAUCCAGUUUAUACCCCAGCAUGUUUUGAUAUGAACUUUAAGUACUACUGGUAAACAAAAGAAGAGGAUCAAUAUAAUAACUUACAUUCGCUUUAUGGAUUUAAUUUUCUCCUCCUCUUUUCACAGUGACCUGGAGCUAGUACUUUAAAUAUCCUUGGCUCCAAAAUACAAGACAAUUUAUAUUUAUGUCAAAUAGUGAGGGGUUUAGAUAGUAAGUAAUACAUUCAUGUGCUUUGCAGUUAAUACCUGUUUCCUGCUUUUUCUUGAUAUCUUGAUACCUCUCCUUCCUGCAAUCACCUCUGUGUGCCAGUUAGAAAAUAUAGAAGCACCAUAAAGACAAGUUUUAAAAGAACAAUAGUGUUUUAGCUAAAGGAAGCCACAAAACCACUGCUGGGCUCUGAUUAAACUGGGCUCUGUGGCUCUGAUUAAACUGAUGGAGCUGAUUCUAGGUCAGCAGAUGAGACAUGCCUUCUCAGUGAUAUCAGACCCUCUGUCAUUUUUGCAGCCACUCUAUGUUUUUCUACCCACAUCACACAAAUUUAUGUCUGUACACACCAUUAUUACACUGAACACAAAUGAACGGAGAAAGAGUUUCCAUAGAAUGUUAGUUAACUGUCCAUAGGAGCAAGAAAAUGAAGUGGGUUUGCAUGAAUUCUGUACUGUACUGUCGUCCCGUUUAUGUUAUCAGAAUAUUUGUAUUCCUUAGUUGUCUUUUGAAACUAUACAGUGCGUUCUUGGUGAAAAACCAAAGAUGAUUAAGAGAACAGAUCAGAGCAAGUAUAUUUUCCCAGAAUAGUUAUCCACAGUCCUUUGACAGGGUUUGUUAGUAUACGUGUAUAGGUAAUUUUGGAUGUAAAGGCAUACAGAUAUACUUUCCUUUGGUUCUAUGAGUACAUCAGUUUUCAAGUUUAAAUUAUUGCUUUUAGUAAAUAAGAUGCACUUAGUAGAUGAUGUCUUUGUUAUCUAAUUGGCUAGAAUAAUGACUACAAUUUGGCAGCAGUACCAUUUCUUUCCCUAUCUAUCCCAAAUUCAAUUAAAAAAAAAAUCUAUUUUUGUGAUACAAGUGACAAUCUAUGAUAAUUGCAUUAUAACAAUUUAAACUACAACCUCUUUAAUCUCAUGUAAUUUAGAUGCAUCUAAGGAAGAGUGUUUGAGGUACAAAUUUUGUUUUCUAAUAUUGGAAGUAACGUAUGUAAAUGGAAAGUGAAUUAUAAAAGUUUGUUUCAAAUUACUUUUAUGGCUGUGUAAUGCUCUCUGUUAGAUUGGUAGUGCUUGAACUGUGCUCAGAAUUUACAAAAUUGUCCGUUAGUAUAUGAUUAUCACUGUUAUUUGUUUGAGUCCUUGUAAUCUUAGAAGCCUGUGUUUAGGGAUUUAUUUUAUCUGACGAUAAAAUGAGAAAACAGAUAUUAGGGAAAAGACUGCAUUUGUGAUGAGAGCUAGCUAAUAGUUUUAUCAGUCUUAUUUUCUGCUCCAACAUUUUGGCUAGAAGACAGGUCUAGAGACUUGGGAGAACCUCACAACUUUAUAGCUUUUAAAAUGCUUCAGGAACCAGGAAGAACGAUAUGCUUUCACUUUGGAAACUAUAGUUUCUGAACCGCUGUCUCAUUCCAAACCAAGGCUAGGAGGAGAAUGUCCAAAACAAAGAAUCAGCUGAAAACUGAACAAGCUAUUUUUGUGUUUAAGCAAACACAGAAUAUUAGGAAAUGCUUAAGUGAAUUACGACAAGAAGGGUGGGUAAUUUGACCUUUUUGGCUUCUGCUAGAUUGCGUGCCCUCGGGUAGGAUUUGACACAGGACACCAAAAGUACGCAAGAGGUCUCCAAGGAGAGUUCAAGGUCCAACAUGUUCCUCAGUGCAGACACUGGCUGCCUUUUAAUGGACAUAUUUUGCCAGCCAGGAAAUUCUGCACAACAACAAUGUCAUAGCAGAGUAGGUCUGUUGGAUUUGGGUUUCAAGGAAUGGAUAAAAGUAAUUAUUUUCCUUAAUUAGUUUCCCUACCCAGUGGGGUCGGUUGGUUUCUCAGUUUUUAACAAGUGACACUGAUUCAUUUGUGUCUCCUUACGUUUGAGCAACUGGAACACGGACACGGGGAUACAGCGAGCACGUUUUGGUUUAUCUCAGUAGCACAAAGCAGCUCUUGCGGUAGUUGCUGCUGGGUGGUUACUGGUCUUCCUCAGGGCAUUGCGUGUCUGCAGCAGAGCUGUGGGGAGAGUUGAAGCUCGAGCCAGCAGCCUUCUGCUGUGCUCAGGGAGGACUGGUGAUGUUUCUGCCGCGUAUUUCAUUAGCAUUAAGAUGAAGCAAGCAGGCAGCAUUGCUUUAAAUACAAAGUCAUCUCUCCUGCCUACUCUGGCUGCCUCUCUGAAUUUUUCCUGAUGCUUGACCCACUUAUUUGGAACUAUUCACCCUCCUACAUGGAUUUUUUUUUUUCCCCAAAAUUUCUGCAGAGUUGUUGUGCAUGUAACUAUGAAAAUUGGACUUUGGAACACUGUGGAGGUUUACAGAAAAUGAACCAAAGAGGUUGUGGUUUUUGUUUGUUUGUUUUAGAAAGCUGUUUUUAUUUUUAAACUAAUACCAUGAGCUUCUGAGCAUAAGACAUCAUCUUUUAAGGCCUAAAGGGAAACUAAUGAACUGAUUUGUGUAGGUAAAGGAAAUAUUUCUGUUUAGGAGUAUAUCGUGCAUGAGAUACUUAGCUAGACAUAUGGCCAAUGAGCCAUUUAUUUCAAGUAAGUAUUGCAUAUAUUUUAUGCUAAUUAUCUUAACAGACAUUAAUUCCAUCAGAGACAAAUUAACCGAUAUCCCCAAAUAUAACUUAUGCUCGGUGUUCCUCACGUUGUUAGCUUAGAUUUCAUGUCAAAAGAUUGAUUGUUCUGCUUUUUCAUGAAGAAAAAUAACAUAAAACCAGUCCUACAUAAUGUCAUCACAGGUGCUUAAGUCAUAAAGAGAUAACAGUCUGCUUUCCUUUAGAGGCAGAUCAUUCAUAUCACGACACGAAAUGCAAAAUGGCAAUAGAUAUUGUGACAAAUAUUCCAGCAUCUCACAUUUUGGUACCAAAGCCCAAACCACUUUGAUCUGAUUUUGAGAUUACAUUGUAAUAUGACCUUUCUUCUACUGGAGGAGGCAGGGGGUUCCACGUGCCCUGCCUUCUGCUCCGUCAACCAUAUCUCAGGAAGCAUGGGAAGCAAAGUUAUUGCGUUGCCCUCUAUGCAAGCCCAGCAAUGUGGAAAAUGUUCCCCCUAAUUCUCCCCACUUAGUCCUACUUCAUUUGGUGAACGCAAUGAGUCAGCUUGUAUCAAUAUGGGAUCAUCUAAUUGCUUAUUGAAAAGAACAAGCUUGAAAUAGCUUUGGCUAUUUAAAUACUUGGCUUUUUUGAGGAUAAAGUGCUGUGGUGAUGGCGUGAGCCUCAGCCUGGGCUGCAUGCGUCUUCCUAGCAUUGACACUGGAUGGGUAUACCUAGUUCAUCUCUUAAAGCUUCCCUGCUCUUUGUCCCAGACUAACCAGGUUAAAAUGAGGUUAAGUUUGUCUGCACCAUGGUUGUAGCAUGCAUUGCCUAAGGUCAGAGUGGUCCCCGUCUGAUCUGCUCUAACUCCUCGCAGGUGGUGCAACAUACUGCUCUCUCCUUGGGUUUUUAGAGACAGCUGUGUUUCUUGCAUUGCUCUUAAUUAUACUGGAAAAGUAGAUGCAAGUCAAAUCAUUUCUUUCUCAUUUCCCUUUCAGAUGUAAAUGAAAUGGUUAAAGUAUAAGUAACGUGAUAAAGUCAUCAGGUUCCACAGUAAAUUUUCGUUACAUAA